AAUGUGGGAUUGUUGUUGAGAGGUAUUCAGAAGAUUGAUAUUCAGAGAGGAAUGGUGUUGGCGAAACCGGGAACAAUCACUCCUCACACCAAGUUUGAAGCUCUUGUGUAUGUUCUGAAAAAGGAGGAGGGUGGCAGGCAUUCCCCAUUCUUUUCGGGGUAUAGGCCUCAGUUUUACAUGAGGACCACCGAUGUAACUGGGAAGGUUACUUCCAUUACCACUGACAAAGGGGAUGAAUCUAAGAUGGUCAUGCCUGGU
rnacentral:misc_RNA from 1 species